rnacentral:rRNA from 1 species
UACGUAGGGGCAAGCGUUGUCCGGAUUUAUUGGGCGUAAAGAGCGUGUAGGCGGCCACACAGGUCUGCUGUGAAACUCGAGGCUCAACCUCGAGCUGUCGGUGGAAACCGUGUGGCUAGAGUCCGGAAGAGGAGAGUGGAAUUCCCGGUGUAGCGGUGAAAUGCGCAGAUAUCGGGAAGAACACCCGUGGCGAAGGCGGCUCUCUGGGACGGUACUGACGCUGAGACGCGAAAGCGUGGGAGCGAACAGG